ensembl:lncRNA
GGAGAUGACAAAAAUCACUAUACCAGCAGCCUUGACCUGACUGUAUAUACUAUAUGGAUCCAUUCAAAAUUAUUGAAUCAUCAAAAUAAUAAAAUAAAAACAUUGUAAAUGUGUGGAAACUCAGUGAUAUCAUCCGUGGUGUAAGUAAGUGCUUGUGUCUUUUGCUUGGAACAUCAGAUGCCCUUUUGACCUGCACAGCAGCGUGUGGGAAGGAUCACAGUUCUCAGAAAAAAUAAGGUAAUAUAAAAAAGCCUAUUUUUUUAAAGCUAAAAUGAUUCACUAAAAACAGGAUGCAAGUCAUUUUCUCUGUCAUCGCUGAUGUAAUCAGCUGGGUUUUGUGGAAGGAGAAGUUAAAAACUAAUCUAAAGAUAAAAACUAAUCUAAACAUAGAUUUUUUUUUUUUUUUAGUAAUACAGAAUACUAAGAAGAAAAAAAUAUUUAGUUCAAAUCUUCAUAUGGUUCAAAUUCCAUUAUCGUUAGAUUUUUAGUUCAGCUCUUAUUGAAUGCCCAAGCUCUUCUUACAAUGAAGUAUUGCUCUAGUGAGGCUUGCCAGAGAAGAUGCUCUGGAUAUUCACUGAGGUCACAGUAUAGUUCAUACCAAACACUGAAUAAUGUAAAUAAACACCUAUUUGUGUGCAAGUAAAGAUACUUUAAUGGCUGUACAUGAUGAAAUCAGAGAUUCAUCAGUGCAUCUUCACCAAACUGUACACGUGAUCUUCUGUGUUUGAGUUAACUGGUUUGUCAGGGAUUGUGCAGUACAGGUGAUAAACAUUCUUAAGGACACACAUGAAAUAAAUGUGUUAGUAUUCUGUUGAUGAUGGACGGUCAUGUGGGCUUGGGGUGUGACAGUGUUCACACAUACCUCAUUUUCCUCUGUAUUUCCCUGUUUCUGUUGUUUAUUAACCAAAACAUCUGUGAAGCAAUGCAGAAAC